AACAUCACUACGUAUAUGUGGAGCUGAUUUGGUUCUGUUAAGAUAACCCCUGGAAAUGCCAUAAUUUUAUCUGCUGGCAGAAUGGUGUCAAAAAAGGACAAAUGGACUUUGGGCUGGUAUUUGUUGGGCUCUAUGUUUGAGCAUUCUAACAAUAAAGAAUAUCAUAGUAACAAUGCACUCUCAGAUUAGAUCUCACAGAGGGCUCUUUUGCCAGCCAGCAAUGUGCCACCAAGGCGCUGUCACCCCCAUCUCCAGAGUAGACACACCUGCCCAGGCUUCCAGCCUGAGCAGUGAGCUUCAUCCAGUGUGCCUGGCCAGAUUCAAAGGAAACAGAAGAAGACACUCUCAAAAAUUGGGAUUUCUUUUUUGGCAGGGCCAUGGUUACAUUUGUCUGAACUCACCAGCCUGAAACACUGGGUAACUGUUUUGACAGUCCCUUGAGUAUAUUUGUGAAGAUGAUGGACUUUCUGCUUCAAUUCUGAUGAGUAUCCUUUCUCUCUCUUCUGUGUUCUCCCAGAGGAAUAAUAAACAGGCAGAGACCAGCACUUUGAAUUUUUUUUCUAAUUGAAAGAACCAUUGCACAACCCAUGACUUGAAAAGAAAAAGCUGAGACAUUACCUUCUGGAUGAGGCAGAGGGCACCUGUGCACUCACCCCAGUCUCGCAUUCAUCUGUCAGUUUCUUCCUUGAACUCCCC
ensembl:lncRNA